rnacentral:rRNA from 1 species
GAUGAACGCUGGCGGCGUGCCUAACACAUGCAAGUCGAACGGGAGACACUUUCGAGUGUCAAGAGUGGCGCACGGGUGAGUAACACGUAGCUUACCUGCCCCAAACACCGGGAUAACGGGUCGAAAGACCUGCUAAUACCGGAUAAGCUCACGAUGGAGAGCACUGUUGUGAGAAAAGUUCAGGCGGUUUGGGAUGGGGCUGCGGCCCAUCAGCUAGUUGGUAAGGUAACGGCUUACCAAGGCGACGACGGGUAGGGGGCCUGAGAGGGUGAACCCCCACACUGGAACUGAGACACGGUCCAGACUCCUACGGGAGGCAGCAGUGAGGAAUAUUGCACAAUGGGCGCAAGCCUGAUGCAGCGACGCCGCGUGGGCGAAGAAGGUUUUCGGAUCGUAAAGCCCUUUUCUCAGGGACGAGGAAGGACGGUACCUGAGGAAUAAGUGUCGGCUAACUACGUGCCAGCAGCCGCGGUAAAACGUAGGACGCAAGCGUUAUCCGGAAUUACUGGGCGUAAAGCGCGUGUAGGUGGAUAUUUAAGUCACUUGUGAAAGCUCCCGGCUAAACUGGGAGAGGUCAGGUGAUACUGGAUGUCUGGAGGAUGUCAGAGGGAAGCAGAAUUCCGGGUGUAGUGGUGAAAUGCGUAGAGAUCCGGAGGAAUACCAGAGGCGAAGGCGGCUUCCUGGGACAUACCUGACACUGAGACGCGAAAGCACGGGGAGCGAACGGGAUUAGAGACCCCGGUAGUCCGUGCCGUAAACGAUGCAGACUAGAUGUACGUUCCUCUACGGGGGGAUGUGUGUCGGAGCCAACGCGGUAAGUCUGCCGCCUGGGGAGUACGGUCGCAAGGCUAAAACUCAAAGGAAUUGACGGGGGCCCGCACAAGCAGCGGAGCGUGUGGUUUAAUUCGAGGCUACGCGAAGAACCUUACCUGGGUUUGACGUCCCACGAACGAAGGUGAAAGCCGGAGGUUCCCGCAAGGGGCGUGGAGACAGGUGCUGCAUGGCUGUCGUCAGCUCGUGUCGUGAGAUGUUCGGUUAAGUCCGAAAACGAGCGCAACCCUCGGUUCGUGUUACAAGUGUCACGAACGACUGCCUGCGGCAAGCAGGAGGAAGGUGGGGAUGAUGUCAAGUCAGCAUGGCCUUUAUAUCCAGGGCUACACACACGCUACAAUGGUCGGUACAGUGGGUCGCGAAGCCGCGAGGUGGAGCCAAUCCUAAAAAGCCGAUCGUAGUUCGGAUUGCAGGCUGCAACUCGCCUGCAUGAAGUUGGAGUUGCUAGUAACCGCACAUCAGCGCGGUGCGGUGAAUACGUUCCCGGGCCUUGUACACACCGCCCGUCACGUCAUGAGAGUUCGUCAUGCCUGAAGUCGGGAAGCUAACCGCAAGGAGGCUACUGCCGAAGGCAGGGCGGAUGAUUGGGACGAAGUCGUAACAAGGUAGCUGUAGCGGAAGC